rnacentral:rRNA from 1 species
AUGAAUAUUGCCCUCCUCUCCCGCUGGCUUUGGCGAAUCUCGCAAGGGCACGGUGGUCUUUGGCUUGACAUCAUCCGGAACAAAUACCUGCGCAGACAGCCUCUCGCCUUUUGCCAAAAGUCUGGAGGCUCUCAAUUCUGGCAGUCGAUCGUUUAGCUUCUUCCGGUUCUCCGUAUCGGGACCUCCAUCUCGGUGGGCUCUGGAACUUCCACGCUGUUCUGGUUUGAUCGUUGGGCCGGAGACACCCCCUUCGUGGCUCGCUUCCUUGGCCUCUUCUGCAUCUCCAUCGACCCCGUGAUUUUUGUUGAUAGGGCCCUUCUUGACUUAGGGCGCCUUGCUUUCCGGCGGGCCUUUGGCCCCAUGGAAUCCGCCGCCUGGCAUGAGUUGCUUGACUAUGUUGCUCUCCACGAACCGUUGGUGGAUGGUGGCCCUAACCUGGUGCGAUGGUGCCUUGAGCCUUCGGGCCAAUUCUCCACCAAGUCGCUAUACCUGGCCAUCGCACCAUCCGUCGCCCCUCCCUCUUUCGAUGGUUUGGUCCAUCUGCCUGCCUCUGAAGAUCCGCAUCUUCAUGUGGCAAUGGAUUCACGGUCGGAUCCCGUCCGGGGUGGAGGUGCGCAAGCGCAAUGGCCCUGGUACUGGCAUUUGCCCAAUCUGUGGGGUUCCCGAAGACUCGAACCACAUUUUCUUCUCCUGCAUUUCCGCCUAGUUCCUCUGGAGCUGUUUUCACGAAGUGGUCGGUGGAGAUUGGUGCCACACCAACUUCCCGGACUUAUUUGCCGAACUCCAGAUGUCCCCCGCGACUUCUUGCCACAUUAG